rnacentral:lncRNA from 1 species
UUGACUAAAAACGCUUCGGAGUAUAAAAGCCUAAGUUAGAUUUAGAAUCAGGGUAGUUGAAAUUAGGAGAGAGUUGAGAGUGGGAGUUGAAAUUAGGAGAGAGUUGCAGUUGGGAGUUGGAGUUGAUUAUUUCGGUGUAAGUGCUACGAUGCACAGAUCCAACCAAAAUGCCACGGGGCAUAUCUUAGAAGCAUAGUGAAAACGUUAAAAUAAGAUUAAGAAAAAUCUUAGAAUAUAUAUUUUGGAGUGAAAA